UUGUUCCUUUAUCUGCAGCAUUAGGUGCAGGCAGCCAUUUUAAAAAGUGCAUCUUUCCACAGUGGGAAGCGAUAACAGCAGGUGGGGAAAACCUCUCAUGAGGAGAGCAGCACAUGCACUCAUUGUUAUUGUUCUUGGGAAGGUAAAAUUGUGUAGACAUAGUGAUUGUGAGGCAGCCAAAUGGGAUUCCUACAGAAAUUUGACUGAAUAACUUGUACUAUUAACAUCCCUUUAGGAAUGCGAAAAGCUGAUUAAGAGGAAACAGACUGACUUUGGACUUUGCCACCUUGCUUUUUCUAGUUCCAGCUCAGCAUCUGAAUAAGUAGGUUGUUGCCCACAAAAGCUUGUGCUUGUAACAAAAACUUGCAAUAAAAAGCUCAUUAUAAACUAGUCUCAAGGUGCUGUCAAAUACAUUUAUGUUUUGAAGCAUAAACUAUUAUUUGAAACCAUAGUCUGAGGACAGUUUGUAAACUGUGGGUUUGGAGGUUAUUCCUAACCCUACUAAUAGUUUUAUUAUUAGUGUAUCUUUAUAUAUUAUAAAUACAUGCAUAUACAUUUAUAUAUUACAUUUAUAUUAUAAUAUAUUGUAAUUAUAUGUCAGGCUUCAGGGAAUUAACUUCCUCCCCCCUUUGGCAGUAGAUAAGCAGAACAAAGGAAAAGGAGUCUCCUUACCAGUUAGAAACUUUAAUGAUCACAGUGAGAGAACAAAUAACCCCCUUCCUAGGAACGGUGGUGCUCCCAAUUAAGGGUUCCACCCACUUCCUCCAUAGUCACCCCCGUCACUACCGCAUCUUGUCACCGGAGCUUGUAACCACUGUGCUUUCUGUGCUUUCUGUUCUGCCACUUUCUGAGCUCUUCUUGACCUUGGGGAGAGCGGGGGAAUGCUUUCCAGAGACAGUGAAUCUAUUAAUUCUCUCUCUCCCAGUGCUUCUUCUCCAUCCAGUAUUUCCCAGCUUCUGCCGUCUGAACGAUGUCCCUCUGCAAACCAGUGUUCCAAAUCUAUACUGUCCUCCUGCUCCUGGGAAGAUUCAGGGGGUGGGGGAGGCUCCCAACAUUCAUCCUCAGUGCAGCCCUCCUCAGCACGGUCUCUGACAUUAUAUUAUCUAAUAUAAUAACAAAUCUAAUAAUCUAAUUUACCAUCUAUAUUAUGUUUAGCGCAACACGGAAAUUAAGGGAAGUGGAAUACACAAGAAGGAAGGAGGAAGGAUGCAAAGACUGAAUGCAUUAGGCCAAUGAGAGCUCUCCAAACUGAUUCGCCACUUAUUUUUUUGCUAUGAAGAAUUAAUGAAGGCAAUCCUGCAGUUGAAUUCACAGUUCUGUAGCCCGUGGAAGGGAUUCAUUGAGAUCUAUGAAAUGAUGGUAUUAAAAUACCAGUCUCCUCUAGCUAUAACAAGUUUCAUGAAGUUAAGUGAAAUUAUUGAAGACUCAGUCAUAAAGCAGCAAAAUUGGAGCUGCAACCUGGAUUCAGUGGAUUCCGUUGUCCCACUAGCAUAUAUAAGGGCACCACUUAACUACCCUGAAACCAUGGUCAUAUGUGUGAAACAAAUUCCUGGCUUAUUACUUUCAAAGAAUCAAGAAUACAGUGUUGAAAUGUAUUUUCUUCGUACUUUUGGAAACAUACCACUUCAUAUGUACUUAUAGCAAUAGUGUAUUUGUCUGUAAGGAAUGAAGGUAAGAUUGGAAGCAAUUCAGUGCAAGGGAAUAUUAACAUUUGGAGGAGAAGAAGAAGAAGAAGAAGAAGAAGAAGAAGAAGAAGAAGAUCAGCCUCUCUACAGAUAGGCGUCAGGCUAAUACAAAAAGAAGAAGAAAAGCAAAUAAAGACCAUAAACAGAGAAAAAGACUACAUUUUUUAAAUUACUGAGUUGUGUGUAGAAUGUGGGACAAAAUCUAGGAGAGGGGGGGAAAAGUUGAGCUUUCUCUGGUUUUUAGUAUUAUCAUGACUGAAGGAACUUCAUGUGAUUUUUGGGCACUUGGUUGGUAGAAUGCAUAUUUUCUAUCCUGUUAGAGCAACCCCAAUGAAUAGGCUUAUUUAA